UGUGAACUAAAGUGGGCAGCUCUGAGCCCUGAAACGCCAAAGCUGAAAGUCAGUCCCACUCCGGCCCUGUUGACCAGCGUAACAGUUAGCAACGGUACAAUCAUCCAGGUUGUUGUUAGGAAAUUGCAACAAAGAUCUGAAGUCUUCAAAGACAAUUCCCUGCAAAGACAUAAACUUGAGCAUUGUGAAAUGCAAAUCGUCAAAUUAUAAGUGCCACAUAAAGCAGACAGCUACAAGUGUCAACAAAGGGCAGCGCUCCGGUUCACACAAAACAUAAUCUUCUUCUUUUCAUCCCAAGGCGAUUCCUUUGGUGUGAACGGGACCUUAAAGCCACCAGGUAGAUAACACAUCCUAAGAGAUAAAGCAUACAUUGCUGGAUUUUCCCCGUGCAGUAUGGACACGCAGAGCUCUCAUCAGCAGAGAAGGGGGGGUUGGCUGGUCACUCAAACAUUGGGCCUAUUGAUCUCCACUCAAGCAUGCCACGGGACGAGUUCCUUCUAUCACCAGGGGCCCUUCUAAACAGGUAAAGAUGAAACGACAAUGAACAUGCAGUAUGUUGUUCGAUCACUUCCUCCUAACUUAACCAGGAAUGUCAUCACACUAAAUAUGCGCUUUAAUUCUUGGUCAACAUUUCAAUGGAAAUGUGUAUAGAUAAAUCACCCUAAAACCAGAUUCACCGCUGUACCAGCGACUGAGUCUGGUCACGAUCACAUCAAGCACAUUUCUGAGGCAUCCAGUGGACAUGGUUAAAACUCGGGGCCGAUCACAUGACUUUCAGCUGAUUGGUAUCGGCUCAAAAAGAUUCGAUUUUUAAAUUUUCUUUAUUUCUAAAGUCAAGCAUAAAAUUGUUCAGUUCUUUUCAUUAUUUGAACCACUGUUCAUUAACAGCCAUAUAAAAGGUUUCAUCUUGAGAUACCUUCGUUCAAAAUAAAUAAAUAAGAUAAUUGAAACACUUAGGAUGUGGUGUUCUUUUUUCCUCUCCAUUCC